AGUGAACGCUGGCGGCGUGCCUAAUACAUGCAAGUCGAACGGAGUGGCGCACGGGUGAGUAAUAUAUAGCUAAUCUGCCCCUUGCUGGAGGACAACCGUUAGACCUGACUGCUAAUACUCCAUAGCAAGGGAUGAGACUAUAUCGUAUCAGCUAGUCGGUGGGGUAACGGCCUACCGAGGCUAUGACGCGUAACUGGUCUGCGAGGAUGAGCAGUCACAUUGGAACUGAGACACGGUCCAAACUCCUACGGGAGGAAGCAGUAGGGAAUAUUGAGCAAUGGGGGAAACACUGACGCAGCAACGACUCGUGGAGGAUGACACUUUUCGGAGCGUAAACUCCGUUUGGUAGGGAAGCGGUACCUAACGAAUAAGCACCGGCUAACGCCGUGCCAGCAGCCGCGGUAAUUC
rnacentral:rRNA from 1 species